AAGGGGGGUCAGGGGCUCCAAGGAGGAGGGUCCGCAGCCCGGGGACUGAGCGUCCGGGGUGGAAGGGGACUCCGGGGUCGGGGUCUGGCGCACCCAGCCGCCUCCUCUCAGGCCGGGAGCCUCGCGUCGGAGGAGGAAAACUUUUCGUCAAGUUCCGGGAAAGGAGCGGGACACAGCGCGCGCCUCCGCGAGGGCCGCAGAGUCUCGAGUGUCGCCCCAGCCCCGAAGGCCCCGCGACAGCACCCCCGGCGCCACGCACGCGCUGCCCUGGCGUGCAGGAGCCGCGGCCGCGCGGCGAGGGACACCCAGCAGGACCCGCGUCCGGCGACCCGCCUCGCCCGGGCCGCUCCCCGCCUCGGCCGGCGCUGCAGCAGGUGGCGGCCCGAGCGCCCUGCCCUCCCUCGCGGCCCGCGGCCCGCGGCCCGUCCCCCGCGGGAGGCUCUCAGUACCGGAGUUAGCGCGGCUCCGACGCCAUCCCCGGGACCCGCGGGCCCGCAGCCCAGGCCCCGCAGGACCCGCAACUCGCGCUGCGAAGACGCCGGGCGCGCGGUAGGCAGCGGGUCCGGCCCGCAGGUGCGCGCGAGCACCCCGCGGCGAACAGCGGCGCGCACCCUCGCUUCGCCCCGCCCCCUCACCCGCCCCCUGGACACGCCCCCACGCACUUGGGCCCCGCCCCUGCCUGCCGGCGCCCGCUCUUCCGCCCGUGCCGGCGCGUCUAGAGCUCGGCGCUCGCCCGACUGUCCCUCUUCCGGGGGCCGCCCGCCGCGGGCCUCCGGAGCGGCGUCGCUAGCCCUUUUUUCUCCCGAGAACCAACCGGAGUGGCGAGGGACUGCCUUGAACGGGCCUUUGUGCCCGCAGAGCCCCCGCGGACAUCCGACAGGGGCCCCCUUACCUGUUCGGCUGCACCCGCAGCCAUCUUGGAAGUGGGAAGCGGCCGGGAGGGGGAAGGGGCUCGAGCGGGCAGGGCUCAGGCGUAGGGAGCCGAGCGGCGGAGCGCAUCGAUGGGGCGCCCCUGUCCCGGCCGGUGUGCGGGAGAGACGGCCCGGGCCCCGCCGCGGAAAGGAAGGUCUGCGUGACACCGGAGCUCAGGCCCCGCCGCGGUGGUCUUGGGAGCGGCGCCGUGGCGUCCUCCCAGCCGGCCUCAGUAUCAAUCUAUAA
rnacentral:lncRNA from 1 species